rnacentral:rRNA from 1 species
AACGAACGCUGGCGGCAGGCCUAACAUAUGCAAGUCGAGCGAGGACUUCGGUCCUAGCGGCGGACGGGUGAGUAACGCGUGGGAACGUGCCCUUUGCUUCGGAAUAGCCCUGGGAAACUGGGAGUAAUACCGGAUGAGCCCUUUGGGGGAAAGAUUUAUCGGCGAAGGAUCGGCCCGCGUUGGAUUAGGUAGUUGGUGGGGUAAUGGCCUACCAAGCCGACGAUCCAUAGCUGGUUUGAGAGGAUGAUCAGCCACACUGGGACUGAGACACGGCCCAGACUCCUACGGGAGGCAGCAGUGGGGAAUCUUAGACAAUGGGGGAAACCCUGAUCUAGCCAUGCCGCGUGAGCGAUGAAGGCCUUAGGGUUGUAAAGCUCUUUCAGCUGGGAAGAUAAUGACGGUACCAGCAGAAGAAGCCCCGGCUAACUCCGUG